rnacentral:rRNA from 1 species
UACGUAGGUGGCAAGCGUUGUUCGGAAUUACUGGGCGUAAAGGGCGCGUAGGCGGUUUGCUAAGUCAGUUGUGAAAGCCCGGGGCUCAACCCCGGAAAGUCGACUGAUACUGGCGAACUAGAGUACGGAAGAGGUAGCUGGAAUUCCUGGUGUAGCGGUGAAAUGCGUAGAUAUCAGGAGGAACACCUGAGGCGAAGGCGGGCUACUGGGCCGAUACUGACGCUGAUGCGCGAAAGCCAGGGGAGCGAACGGG